AUAAAGGAGUGGGUGGGAUGGAUAGGUGGGUGGGUGGAUGAGCAUCUAGGUGGAUGAUGGAACGGGUAAGUAGGUGGGUGGAGAUACAUAGCAGUAUAGAAGAUGAGAAACAGUGUAAGCUUCAGACUCAGACUGGCCUAGAUUUGAGUCCCAGAUUUGAGUCCCAGGUUGUGUCCCAGGCUAGCUAUGAAAACGCAAACAAGUCUCUUAACUCUUUAAGACUUCGGUUUCUUGGCUGGGCACAGUGGCUCACACCUGUAACCCCAGCACUUUGGGAGGCAGAGGCCAGAGGAUCACUUGAGCCCAGGAGUUCCAGACCAACCUGGGCAACAUGGCAAAACCCAUCUCUACUGAAAAUACAAACAUUAGCUGGGCAUGGUGGCACACGCCUGUAGUCCCAGCUACUUGAGAGACUGAGGUAGGAGGAUUGCUUGAGCCCAGGAGGUCGAGGCUGCAGUGAGCUAUGAUUACAUCACUGCGGUCCAGCCUGGGUGAGUGAGCGAGCCACUUUCUCAGAAUCAAAAUAAAAUAAAUUUUAAAAGAAUUCAGUUUCUUUAUGUCUGAAAUAGAGCUAUCAUAUCUAUUUUUUAGGGUGGUUGUGAGGAUUAAGAAAAUGAACAUCUAGAAUGCUACUGGCACAUAGUAGGUGCUCAAGAAAGGUACACAGUUUGCCCAGAUUCUUCGUUGCAACAAGGGAGAGGGUGUCUUGGCCCGUGGCGUAAAAGAAGGAUGGGGUGGAGGGGGAAGCCCAGGUAACUUGAGCUUGGUAAGUCUCAUCGUGCAAUGGUGCUUGAAAUGUUGCUAUUUUCCAGCUUGAUCAAAAUGCUGUCAUGCUUAUUACCUGGGACUUUCUGCAUGAGGACAAGGACCUGGUCUGUUAGAGCAGGAGUCCUCAACCCCCAGGCCACAGACUGGUACCAGUCUGCAGCCUCUUAGGAACUGGGCCAUACAGCAGGAGGUGAGCGCAGGGCAGGUGAGCAGAGUGUCAUCUGUGUUUACAGCCAUUCCCCAUCACUCCCAUCACCGCCUGAGCUCCACCUCCUGCCAAAUCAGCAGCAGCAAUAGAUUCUCAUAGGAGCAUGAACACUUGUGAACUGUGCAUGUGAGGAAUCUGGGUUGCGUGUUCCUUAUAAGAAUCUAAUGCCUGAUGAUCUCUGUCUCCCAUCACCCGCUUUGGGGCCAUCUAGUUGACGGAAAGCAAGCUCAGGGCUCCCACUGGUUCUACGUUAUGGAGUCUCACUCUGUCGUCCAGGCUGCGGUGCAGUGAUGUGAUCUCAGCUCACUGCAACCUCCACCUCCCGGGUUCAAGUGAUUCUCCUGCCUCAGCCUCUCUAGUAGCUGGGAUUACAGGCACAUGCCACCAUGCCCGGCUAAUUUUUAUAUUUUCAGUAGAGACAGGGUUUUGCCAUGUUGGCCAGGCUGGUCUUGAACUCCUGACCUCAAGUGUUCUGCCGGCCUUGACCUCCCAAAGUGCUGGGAUUACAGGCGUGAGCCACCGUGCCCCGCCUGGUCUCAUCUGAUUUUUAGCAACGGUGGGGUCAACCUGAUCAAUUGCCCUGAAUUUUCCCAUGUUCUUCCUCUCUCCCUCUCUUUCUUCCUAAUGAUGACAUUUAUGUACUGCACAUCAAGCUCUGUCUGAGUGCCUUAUGUUGUAAUUGCUAAGCACCUGCCUAUUGUUUGCAAGGCCCUGGAAUACAAGGUGAAGACACUGGAAAAAGUCCUGGCCCCUAGCCCUAGCAAAAACAAUCAUAUGCAUGAGCAUUCGAGUUUUUUUUGGAAUAUUCAGCAAUUACAAUCAAAAUGCCAUUAACAGUUUUUACAAGGCCAGGCACAGUGGCUCAUGCCCGUAAUCCCAGCACUUUGGGAGGCUGAGGUGGGCAGAUCACCUGAGGUCAGGAGUUCAGGACCAGCCCAGCCAACAUGGUGAAACCCAGUCUCUACUAAAAAUACAAAAAUCAGCCAGAUGUCGUGGUGCACGCCUGUAAUCCCAGCUACUCAGGAGGCUGAGGCUGGAGAAUUGCUUGAACCUGGGAGGUGGAGGUUGCAGUGAGCCGAAGUUGUGCCAUUGCACCAAAGCCUGGGCAACACAGUGAGACUCUGUCUCGAAAAAAAAAAAAAAUCAAAAGGAUACUAUUUCAUGACAUAUGAAAAUGAUAUGCACUUCAAAUGUCAGCAUCCAUAAAUAGAGUUUUAUUGGAGGAAUACCAUGCCUGUUUGCUUAGUAUGGUCUACAGCCACUUCUGCACUCCAAGGGCAGAGAUGAAUAUUUGCAGGAGAGAUGGUGUGGCCUCCAGUGUAAAAAGCAUCUACUGUCUUAUCCUUUAUGGAAAAGUAACUAAUGAUAAUAUUACAAAUACCUACAGGGUGCAGUUGUGUGCCCAGCACCCUUUUAAGUGCUUUCUACAUAUAGGCUGGUUUAAUGCCUCAGCCCCUCUGGGGCAGGAGUGCUACUGUUAAUUAUGAUCCUCACGUUGGAGACAAGAACAGGAGGCACAGAGAGAGUAGGUUCCUUGCACACGGAUUCACAACUGGUAAGUGGUCAGAAGCAGGAUUUGAGCCUAGGCAGUUCCCGAUACAGAGUCUAAUUUUAUUUUUAUUUUUAUUUAUUUUUUGGAGACAGAGUCUCACUCUGUCACCCAGGCUGGAGUGCAGUGGCAUUAUCUCAGCUCACUGCAACUUCCACCUCCAAGUCUCAAGCGAUUCUCCUGCCUCAGCCUCCUGAGUGGAUGGGGUUAUAGGCACCCACCACUAUGCCCGGCUAAUUUUUGUAUCUUUCAGCAGAGACGGGGUUGGCCAGGCUGGUCUGGAACUCCUGGCCUCAAGUGAUCCACCCAUCUCAGCCCCCCAAAUUGCUGAGAUUAUAGGCAUGAACCACUGUGCCUGGCCCAGAGUCUGAUUUUAAUUUAAAAAAAGAAAAUCCUAUACCACAACGUUAAAGGAAUGAAGUUGGAAAGUAAAUGUUUUGUUUGUUUUGUUUGGUUGUUUCCUGAUGGCUACUUUGUGUUUUUUGAACACUAAGUAGCAAUUUUUCCCCCUAAAAUGUUCUCCUCUUGUGUUUUGUGGACAGUGGCUAUGGUGGUGCCCCAGGGUUACUGGUAACUUCAAAACAUGGUUAACUUGCCUACUGGGUACCCUAAUAGCACAUGGGGAAGUAUCAACGUCAUCGUCAUCAUCAUCAUCAUCUUUCUACAGAGGAAACUGAGGCCCAGAGAGGGUGAACUUCCUGCCCAAGGUCAAGUGAAGGUCAUCCUUAUUGAGGGCUUUUCCCAUCAUGUCAGACAAUAGUAGGCAAAUUGAGACAGGAUUGGAGGAGGAGGAGAAGGAGGAGAUGGGGGUGGAAGGGGAGGAGAAAAAGGAGGAGAGGAAGAAGAAAGGGAAGAGAAGGAGAGGGAAGAGGAGAGGGAAGAGGAGAGGGAAGAGGAGAGGGAAGAGGAGAGGGAAGAGGAGAGGGAAGAGGAGAGGGAAGAGGAGAGGGAAGAGGAGAGGGAAGAGGAGAGGGAAGAGGAGAGGGAAGAGAGGGAGGACGGUAGAGGAGAAGAGGGGAGAAGGGAAGAAGUGGGAGGGAAGAUGACAGGGAGCAGAAAGGAAGAAGAAGGUGGAGCAGGAGAGAGGAAGAGGAGGAGGAGGGGGAAGGAGGAAAAGGAAGGGGUGCAGGAAGAGGAGGGGGUGCGUGGGCAGAAGGUGGGAGAGAUGCAGGAGGAGGGAGGGUGCAGGGAGGGGUGCAAGAGGAGGGGGGCCGGAGGAGGAGGCUGGGGCAGGGGGAGAGGGGAGGAAGCCUUAUAAGCUUCUACACCAGGAAUGGAAUCCAGGGUGAUGAAGGCAGAACAAGGGUAAAACCUUUCAUGUGCCUCUCUGACACCAACCCGGUUCUCCCACAGCCUCAGACUUGCCCUAACCCUGGGGUCACAGUGGACCUCUUCCAGCCUCUUGAAUGCUAAGUCAGGAGGGGGAAGGGUGGGAGAGGGGAGGAGGAGGGGGAGAAGGAGGGGUGGGGGACUCCAUUCAAAUCCCGUCUUCCUCCUGUCGCAUACCUGCCAGAGAUAGACGAAGCAGACCACGAUCCAGACGAGAGGCAGCCACAGCCCGUUGAGGUAGAGGACGCUCUCGGUCAGCCGCUGCACGUCCACGGACACCAGGUUGACCACAUCACCCACCGCACUGGCCUUUCUGGAGCCACUGGACAGAGCCAGGACCUGGCGGGUGGGCAGAAGGAGAGAAGUAAAGUGGGGAGGCCGGGGCAGAGGGAUGCCCCAGGUGGCUUCUCCACCCAGUGAGCCCCACUUCACGCGUCUGCGAGGUGGGUGAGUAAAGUCUCUUAGGCCAACCUCUCAGGGCUCUUUGAGGAUCCACGGAGAUGACAAAAAUGAAAAUCCUCCAAGAUCCCUAAAGCACGGGAGGCAUAAUAAUGAAUAACAUGCACGAAAACACCAGAUUAACACAGAUAACGGUGGUCAUCUGCCCAGUGCUCACCAUGUCGCAGGCACUGUGCUAAAUGAACAGCCUUAUCCUUCCCCGGGGUGCUCACAGCCAUGAAUGGUACCAAGCAGGCACUACCAUAUUCAUUCCCUCUAAUGCCAGGCCAGGUGCAGUGGCCUCUGCCUGUAAUCCCACCACUCUGGGAGGCUGAGGUGGGAGGAUUGCUUGAUCCCAGGAGUUCGAAACCAGCCCGGGCGACAUAGUAAGACCCAAGCUCUACAAAAUACUUUAAAAAAUUAGCCAGGGGGCCGGGUGCGGUGCCUCAUGCCUGUAAUCCCAGCACUUUGGGAGGCCGAGGUGGACAGAUCACCUGAGGUCAGGAGGUGGAGACCAGCCUGGCCAACAUGGUGAAACCCUGUCUCUACCAAAAAUACAAAAAUUAGCCGGGCAUGGUGGCAGGCACCUGUAAUCCCAGCUACUUGGGAGGCUGAGGCAAGAGAAUCGCUUAAACCCAGGAGGCAGAGGUUGCAGUGAGCCCAGAUCAAGCCAUUGCAUUCCAGUCUGGGCAACAAGAGCAAAAUCCAUUUCGGGGGGAAAAAAAAGAAAAAAUUAGCCAGGCAUGGUUGUGGUGCGCCUGUGGUCCUAGCUAGCUACUGGGGAGGCUGAGGAGGGAGGAUUAAUUGAGUACGGGAGGUUGAGGCUGCAGUGAGCCAUGUUGGUGCCACUGCACUCUAGCCUGGGCAACAGAGCAAGACCCUGUCUUUAAAAAAAAUUCUAUGGAUAAAUUGCUCUCUAUUAUUCUCUCACCAAGGAAAAUACCACUUCCAGUUAAAUUAAGACAUGUAAGAGACAUCUCGAUUUUGGAAGUAUUAGAGUGAAAAAAAAAUGUGAGACUAGAAUCAAUGAAAUGAACAUUUACUAACCCCAUUCUAUGGCUAAAGAAACCGAGGCAGAGAGAAGUUGAGCACCUUGCCCAAAGUCACAGCCCUUGUAAGCACCUACACAAGGAAUGGAAUCCAGGGUGACGAAGGCAUGACAAGGGUGAGACCUUUCACGUGCUUCUGUGACACCAACCUGGUUCUCUGGCAGCCUCACAUCUGCCUUAACCCUGGGGUCACAGUGGACCUCUUCCAGCCUGUUGAAUGCUAAAUUCCACAUGCAGCCCUCCCUUUGUGACUGCGUGAGGGAGUGAAGAAGUGAUCCAGGAAUGACUGGACAUAGAAAUUCUCCACUUAGCAAGUCUUUGAAGAGUGCCCACUGUGUGACUCACACUGAGCUGGGAACUGAAAAUACAGCUGUGAACAACAGAGAUGAGGCUUGCUCCCCCGGGACUGGAGUUUGAGAUCUGUGACCCGGGGCCACGUGCUGGGAUCAGCUCUUUACACGAAGGAGCUCACUGACUCCCCUGGAUCCCCUUGCCAGGUCUCACCUCCCAUCAAGGAAGAUGUCCAGAUUGCUGUCUGACGUCUGGUCUCUGGACUGAAGGCCAUUUAGUGCAGAUCUCACAAAUGAUGGUGGGGCAAGGCAGGGGCAGAGAUGGGGUUUCACUAUGUUGGCCAGAUUGGUCUUGAACUCCUGACCUUGUGAUCUGCCUGCCUCGGCCUCCCACAAUGCCGGGAUUACAGGCGUAGCCACCACACCCGGCCAAUGACGAGCUUUUCUGAAGGAGCAUCAGGUGAGUUCUUGACCUCCACCCACUUACCUCCGGGCUGCACUGCGGUUCCUCAUCCACUCCUUUUCAAGCCGGGAAACAAGUUCUUCUGAGGAAUUUUCUCUCCCAAGCGACCAGAGGUCUUUUGGUCUCAGUGGCCUCCUGUAUCCCCUCCAGACCAGGCUGCAAAAGAGGGGCACCAGGGAAAGCUUUUCCUGCCAUUCACCCCUGCAGGAUCCUGGCCAGGUUAAGUCAUUCCCAUUUUACAGAGGGAAAACUGAGACUCUGGAGGUUUGCGACAUGGCCUGCUAACAGGCAGAGCCGGGAUUCAAAUCAAGAUCUCACUCCAGUGAGUGAAUGGGAACAGGAUGCAGAUGGUAGACACUGAACACGAAGAAGAAAGCACUGAGGCUGGGAUGGAGAAAGACUUGCUGGCCUUUGGAAGCACAGGGGAAGGGCCAUGGCUGGGAAUCAGAGCAGCAAAUGCAGGCGGGUGAGGCACCACCCCAACCCUUCCGUUCGACUUUACUUACCCAGAAACCCACCAGAACGUGGCUUUGGAGGGGAAGGCUGCCCCAGUCUCUGGACAGGGGUUCUGCAACAGACAAAAAUGGAGAAGGGAAGUAUGUGGCAAGGGUAGGAAGACAGGAUGAACUGUGUAUUUUUUUUUUUUUUCCAGACAGGGUUUCGCUCUGUUGCCCAGGCCAGAGUACAGUGGUGUGAUCUUGGCUCACUACUACCUCUGCCUCCUGGGUUCAAGCGAUUCUCCUGCCUCAGCCUUCCAAAGAGCUGGGAUGACAGGUGUGCGCCACUACACACAGCUAAUUUUUUGUGUUUUUAGUAGAGACAGGGUUUCACCAUGUUGGCCAGGCUGGUCUCAAACUCCUAACCUCAAGUGAUCUGCCUAUCUCGGCCUCCCAAAGUGCUGGGAUUACAGGCGUGAGCCACUACACCCAGCCCUGAUGGUGUAUUUAGUACUGAAAGUAAACAUCGAGGUGCCCUGUCUCCUUGCCAGGGGUAUACACCAGUGAGCUUGGUGCUUCCCAGCAGGCAGCGUAAAAAGAGGUUGGGCCACAGGCCUGACAAUGUCCACAAGGUAAGAAAUAACAGUGGCUCAGAAGAACAACUAUGAUUAUACUGAAACCAAAACCUUGCUUUGCUUCUCAAAAGGAAGGACACUGCAUAACGAAGAAAUUAGAUCCUUGACAAUGUCCCUCGGCAAAUGUUGUGAAGACAGACCUGUCGUGCGAUUUUUGUCAGGUGCUCCAGGAAGAUUACAACAGUCUGUACUCUUUACCAAUAAGGCGUGAAGGUGCCCAUUUCACCACGUUUUUGCCAUCACAACUUAUUAAUUUUUAAAUUUUGUUGCUACUCUGGUAGGUACAAAAAAGAUUCCUAUGAUAGUUUUAACUAUUCUCAAGCCUUCGAGCAAUUUUUUUUUUUUUUUUUUUGAAUACAGGGUCUUGCUCUGUCACCCAGGCUGGAGUGCAAUGGUGCAAUCAUAGCUCACUGCAGCCUUUAUCUCUUGGAUUCAAGCAAUCCUCCUGCUUUAGUCUCCACAGAGCUACUCUGUAGUGGGACUACAGGCAUGCACCACCACACUAGGCUAUUUUUAAAAACCUUUUUGUAGAGAUGGGGUCUCACUACAUUGCCUAGUCUGAUCUAGAACACCUGGGCACAAACAAUCCUCCUUCCUCGGUCUCCCAAAGUGUUGAGAUUACAGGCAUGAUCCACUGCAUCUGGCCCCAUUUGAACAUCUGUUUAUAUGAUGUCAGAUCAGUCUCUUCCACAAAAGAAUUGUUUCUUGAUUUCACAGACUGCUUCACUGUUACCUAUUAUAAAUCUCUCAAUCUCUCAUGAGCAUCUUCUAUGGAGCACUUACCCCAAGGGUAAUUUUCUUUUUCCUUCUUUUUUUUUUGGUGGAGUUCCGCUCUUGUUGCCCAGGCUGGAGUGCAAAUGCACAGUCUCGGCUCCCUGCAACCUCCACAUCCCAGAUUCAAGCAAUUCUCCUGCCUCAGCCUCCCGAGUAGCUGGGAUUACAGGCGUGCACCACCAUGCCUGGCUAAUUUUUGUAAUUUUAGAAGAGAUGAGGCUUUACCAUGUUGGCCAGGCUGGCUUUGAACUCUCGACCUCAAGCGAUCCACCUGCCUUGGCCUCCCAAAGUGUUGGGAUUACAGGCAUGAGCCACUGUGACCAUCCAAUUUUCAACAUAUUUGUUUAAUUUUGUGACCAGUGUCUGGUUCCCCUGCUUGACCAGUAGCUACGUGAGAACAGAAACUCUAUCUGCUUGUUCACCAUAGAUCCUUAUGCCCUUGCUAGGGCAUAGCGGGGGGUUGGCAAACUAUGACCAAAUCUGGUCCACUGCCUGUUUCUGCAAAUAGUGUUAUUGCAACACAGCCAUGCAAUUUGUUGACAUAUUCUGCUUUUGCGUUCAAUGGCAGAGUUGAGUAAUUGCCACUGAGAUCACUGUAUGGCUCACAGAGUCCAAAAUAUUUUCUCUUGGCCCAUAUAGAAAAAGUCUGCCAACUGUGGCAUCGAGUAGAAAUGCGAUACACUUUUUGCUGAAUGGCUAAAUGAAUAAAAAAAUUAAAGACUUUUGGUCACCUGGGGGAGACUGAGACCUCAAAGUGGAACAGGAAUGAGGUUGGAACUUGGUGACUUACAGACUGCUGGGGGUCUUCAGGGAAGAAGGGGGGUUGAUCCGCCAGGCAGGACAGCACAAACUGUGCCACCACCAGAGACAGGCAUAGGUAGGUGGACAGGUGGCGGACAGGGUCACUCUGGAAGCCCUGUGGGAGGGAAAGCAGAAGAUAAGGAAUGGAGACAGAGGAGGGUGCUCAGAGGAGAGAAAAGGUUUCUGAUCUUGGGUCAGUGCCCACUCUGGGGACCAGGGCAAGAGUAUUUGAAAGCCAGAGCCCUGGCUUUCCUAGCGGUUCUAAUUUUCUUCUUCUUUUUUUUUUUUUAAAGACAAAGUCUCACUUGGUCGCCCAGGCUGAAGUGCAGUGGCAUGAUCUCGGCUCCCUGCAACCUCUGCCUCCUGGGUUCAAGUGAUUCUCCUGCUUCUGCCUCCUUAGUAGUUGGGAUUACAGGUGCCCACCACCAUGCCUGGCUAAUUUUUUAAAAAUAUUUUUAGUAGAGAUGGGGUUUUGCCAUGUUGGCCAGGCUGACCUCAAACUGCUGACCUAAAGUGAUCUGCCUGCCUUGGCCUCCCAAAGUGUUGGGAUUACAGGCAUGAGCCACCACGCCCAGCAGGUCCUAAUUUUCAAAUACCCAAUUUAUAAUAUUCUGUCUAUACUCUAUACAAAUGGUGGGCCAGGGCUGUGUCUGGGUUUUGUCCUUAGCCACGUGAUGAUUGGCCACAGCUGCUGGGACAAUGAGAUGAAGAAACAAUUUACCUUCUUCUUUGUGCCACAAAAGAAAUCCUUUCUCCAUUCCACCCUCUACCCCAAUCUUCAACCCUGCUCCCCCUUGGCCAGGGUUCUCUGGUUUGCAGAGAUGAGAGCUGGUUUUAUUGAGCACUGACCCUGCCCUGGGCACAUGUGGCAUUCUUGCCAUACACAGUCUCAUCAGCUGGAGUUUACUUGCUUCCUUUGACUCAUGGGGAAACCAAGGCUCAGAGAAGUGACAGCACCUUGUUCAAGGACACGCAGAUGAUCUGGUCCAAAUUGUGAUGCUCCUGCUGCCACACCAUAAUGAUUUUUGCACCUUCUGCCCUGUCAUCUGGUCAGAAACACCCUAAUUUUCUUUCUUUUUUUAAUUUAAAACAUUUUUUAUUUUUUAAUUUUAGGUGUGUGUGUGUGUGUGUGUGUGUGUGUGUGUAUGUAUACUUUUUUUUUUUGAGACGGAGUCUUGCUUUGUCACCCAGGCUGAUGUGCAGUGGCAUGAUCUUAGCUCACUGCACCCUCUGCCUCCUGGGUUCAAGCGAUUCUCCUGCCUCAGUCUCCUGAGUAGCUGGGAUUACAGGCAUGUGCCACGACCCCUGGCUAAUUUUUGUAUUUUUAGUAGAGAUGGAGUUUUACCACGUAGGCCAGGCUGGUCUUGAACUCCUGACCUCAGGUGAUCCGCCUGCCUUGGCCUCCCAAAGUGCUGGGAUUACAGGCAUGAGCCACCGCGCCCGGCCUGAUAUAUAUAUUUCUGGAUGACGUGAGAUAUUUUGAUACAGGCAUGCAAUGCAUAAUAAUCACAUCAAGGUAAAUGAGGUCUCCAUCCCCGCAAUCAUUUAUCCUUUCUGUUACAAAUGAUCCAUUCUACUCUUGUAGUUAUUUUAUUUUUUAGUUUAUUAUUGAGUUGGAGUCUCACUCUGUUGCCCAGGCUGGAGUGCAGUGGCUUGAUUUUGGCUCACUGCAACCUCCGUCUCCUGGACUCAAGUGAUUCUCCUGCCUUAGCCUCCUGAGUAUCUGAGAUUACAGAUGUGUGCCAGCACGCCUGGCUACUUUUUUUGUAUUUUUAGUAGAGACAGGGUUUCACCAUGUUGCCCACGCUGGUCUUGAACUCCUGACCUCAGAUGAUCCUCCUGCCUUGGCCUCCCAAAGUGCUGGAAUUACAGGUGUGAGCCACUGUGUCCAGCCCCUUUUAGUUAUUUUAAAAUGUACAAUUAAAUUAUUAUUGACUAUAGUCACCCUGUUGUGCUAUCAAAUAGAUAUUAUUCUUUCUGUUUUUUUGUACCCAUUAACCAUCCCCAUUUCCCCCACCCACUGUCCUUCCUAGCCUCUAGUAACCUUCCAUCUACUCUAUAUGUUCAUGAGUUACAUUGUUUUAAUUUUUAGCUUUCACAAAUAAGUGAGAAUAUGUAAAGUUUGUCUUUCUGUGCCUAGCUUAUUUCACUUAACAUCCAUGUUGUUGAAAAUGACAGUACCUCAUUCUUUUUUAUGGCUGCAUAGUACUUCAUUGUGUAUAUAUACCACAUUUUCUUUAUCAAUUCAUCUCUUGAUGGACACUUAGGUUGCUUCCACAUCUUGUUUAUUGUGAACAGUGCUGUAAUAAUCAUGGGAGUGCAGAGAUCUCUUCCAUGUACUGAUUUUCUUUCUUCCUAAAUUUUUUGCUUGUGUUCAGGCGUGUGAUUUGUGCAGAACUGACUCUACUCCGAGGCUGGGUGGGUGAACGAGGCCUGCCCAACGAAUACGUUCUGGUCUUUUGGCUACCAUGGCAGGGUUAGGAAUGCACAUAGCACCCCAUGCUGGGUACUUGAGAGCUGGAACCAUCGAGAGAUUCUGCUGGCUUUGCUACAUGCUAGAAUGUAAGUGUGAAGGUAUUGGUGGCUCUUCUUGCCACUCCAUUGGAGAAUCAAGCUAACAUGGCAGAGCCAAGAGGCAGAAGUGGAGAUCUGGUGAUGGUACCUGGUCCCAGGCCUGGAUCAGUCAUGCCUCGGAGAUCCCGUGGGUAUGAGCUAAUAAAUGCAUGAGCUAAUGAACCCCCUUGACUUACCCUUUUCAUUAAGCUAGUGUGAACUGAGGUUUUAUGGCUUUAAACCAGAGCCCUAGUUUUAAAUCAUGAUUCCUCUACUGGAUUUUAUACUCUUCUAGUUUUGGGGCUUUUUUUGUUUAUUUGUUUUUUGGCAGAUAGCAGACAAUUGGAUAUUCCAAUGACAAUAUGGCCCAUCUUCCCUAAACUCCCACUGUUUUCCCCACUGUUUCUCUCAGAAAGUUUGUUCUGAAUUUGCCUGAGAUGAACUCGGGCUCUGCACUCCCAAGCUUUGUGGCCCUGAGGCCGUCAUUCCCUUCUCCUAGCCUUAGUCUCCCUCAUCUUUAAAAUGGGACGGCUAGAAUUCAUCAUUGGCUGGGGCACAUUGGCUCAAGCCUGUAAUCCCAGCACUUUGGGAGGCUGAGGCGGGUGAGUCACUUGAGGUCAGGCAUUUGAGAUGAGCCUGGCCAACAUAUUGAAACCUUGUCUCUACUAAAAAUACAAAAAUUGGCUGGGCAUGGUGGCACAUGCCUGUAAUCCCAGCUACUUGGGAGGCUGAGGUAUGGGAAUCGAUUGAACCCGGGAGGUGGAGGUUGUAGUGAGCCAAGAUCGUGCCACUGCACUCCAGCCUGGGCAAUAGAGCAAGACUCUGUCUCAGAAUGAACAAACAAAAAAUAAAAACUCUGUCCUUAAGGACAGGGUGAUGCUUCUCUACCUUCUCCUUUAGGGGCAGGAUGGAGUAACCACUGGACUGAAGAAAUGAUCUGUGAGUCCAGACGUGGUGGCUCAUGCCUCUAAUCCCAGCAUUUUAGGAGGCUGAGGUCAGAGAAUUGCUCGAGCCCAGGAGUUCAAGAUCAGCCUGGGCAACAAAGCAUGAUGUUGUCUCCACAAAAAUAAAAUAAUGAAGUAAAAUAUCUGAAACCUGCUGCAGCCUGUUCAUUGGUGUUAAGAUAACUCCCUCUCCCAGAAGCCUUGGCUAAGCACACUGUCGAGGCCAGUCCUUCUCAAUAGGUGGGGGACUUUGUCCUCCUCACCCCCAGGGACACUUGGUAAUAUCUGGAGACAUUUUGGGUUACUGCAAUUGGAUGGUAUGCUACUGGCACCUAUGGGCAGAAGCCAGGGAUGCUGUUUCACACCCUGCAGCAAACAAGACAGCCCUGUCCACCCAACAAAGAAUUGUCUGGCCACAACGUUACUAAAGCCGAGGCUGAGGGAAGCUGGUCUAGGCUACAUGUUUUUCUCUUUACAGAGAAAAUGACCCAUCAUGUCUCCUAAUAGAGAAACGCUGCUUCCGGCCCAAUGACAAGAGCUCAUGCCUGUAAUCCCGACACUUUGGGAGGCCAAGGCGGGUGGAUCACUUGAGGCCAGGAGCUUGAGACCAGCCUGGCCAACAUGGUGAAACCUCGUCUCUACUAAAAAUACAAAAAUUUUUAGUAGAAGUUUAGAAGAAAUUUUUAGUAGAAAUUUAGUAGAAAUUUAGAAUAAGCCAGGUGUAGUGGCACACACCUGUAAUCCCAGCUACACAGGAAGCAGAGGCAGGAGAAUUGCUUGAACCCGAGAGGCAGAAAUUGCAGUGAGCUGAUAUCAUGCCACUUCAUUCCAGUCUGGGCGACAGAGCAAGCCUCUCAAAAAAAAAAAAAAAAAAAAGCUACUUCCCAGAUUGGGCAACAGAAAUACGAGUGGUGUGCAGAAUGAGUGUGUAAAUAUAGGUGCAUAGGAACAUGGGGAGGGUGAAUCCAUGACAUGAGGGGAGGUGUGCACGGAGGGGUAUGUGCCCAGGUUGUGUGUGUGUGCAUGCAUGCAUGUACUUGUGCGAUGUAUGAAUCAGUGCCUAUAAGUGUGUGCAUCGUGUGCAAGUGGCACGUGUGAUGUGGGCGUGUAAGACAGCAAAUUGUGUUGAUAAGAAAUGUAUGCGAUGAUGGGUACUGACAGGUGCGGGAGUGGAUUUUGUGUCUCUAGAGUGUAAGUGACUGGCUUGUGUGUGUCACUGUAUAGAGAAUAAGUUGUAUGUGGAAACAGGAGGAGAAAGGAAGGGACCCAAGGCAUGAGCCACCAUUUUGGUUUCCCAGGGUGGCCCACGCCCCGACUUACCGCUCCGGAGGCCUGCUGGGCAGCGUUGGUAGCUGGCAAGACAAAGCAGAGAAGCCAGUAACCAAACAGCACUCCAGAUGACUGGACUCCCUUUUUCCUCUCGGUGUGAAUCAGGAACACUGCGAAGCUCUGGACGGGAAAGUCAGGGAGGCCCCUUAGGGGAGGGUGGGAGGCUGAGGGGAGCCUCUUCUCUUCCCCUUGUUCUCCACUGUGGCAGGCAAAGCAGCAGCUGGGAGGAAGCCGGGCUCCAGACUGAAGGCAUCAUUACCAUCGUGGUGAGCCACACGGUAGGAUGAAUGAGGAAUUCUGGGGCCUCAGGCGUUCCCUGUUGGAUUUUCCAAAGAGCGACAGCCACGCUGGACGUACACAGGACUAUGAGGGUGAAUCCAAGCACCUGAGGAUACAGGCUUAGAUAAGCUUGGGGGGCAAUAAGGGAGGUCACAGCAAACUGGUAGGCGGCCCCAUGUCCAACUGGGAGCUGGUUUUGCAACAUCCUGGCUGAUACUGAGUAUACCAGGGUCACCAGCUAGCAACGUGCCAAUGUGAACAAUGUGUAAAGGGCAUUGCAGAUCACUCCUGACCUGUAACUGUCAUAUAAAUAAUGCACAGCAAGGGCUUGAGCCAACCGAGUGUUUUCCAAAAUGCAGGAAGUGCUCCAGUCGUGCACAUAUGAGAUGACUUUGGGUAUGGAGAAACAGCAGGAAAUGAAAUGUACUCACCAGGUAAAAAACUAUCCUUUCUCCAAGUCAUUUUUCAAUCCCUGCUAUGAAAUCAAGGAGCAACUCUCUGUUGGGCCAGUAAGUCUCUAGGGUCUCUCUAAUAUAUUUUGGUUUCUCUAUUGAAUAAAAGAAAGGAAGAAAAUGAGAGAACGUGGACACACGAGAGGGAAGGCCAGAGCUAGGUUACGUUGGAGGAACUGCUCAAAGAACCUCAGUUUAAAGCAGAAGUUGGCAAACUAUCAAUCAUCAAAGAAAAAUAAAAAGCAUAUGUCAUGACAGGUGAAAAUUACAUGAAAUCCAAAUUUCAGUGACUACAAAUAAAGUUUUAUUGAAACACAGUUGGCCGGGGGUGGUGGCUCACACCUGUAAUCCCAGCACUUUGGCAGGCCGAGGCAGGCAGAUCACCUGAGGUCAGGAGUUGGAGACCAGCCUGGCCAACAUGGCGAAACCCUGUUUCUACUAAAAAUACAAAAAAAUAGCGAGGUGUGGGGGUGGGCACCUGUAAUCCCAGCUACUCGGGAAGCUGAGGCAGGAGAAUCACUUGAACCCAGGAGGCGGAGGUUGCAGUGAGCCGAGAUGGCACCAUUGCACUCCAGCCUGGGUAGCAAGAGCAAAACUGCAUCUCAAAAACAAAAACAAAAACAAAAAAUAACACAGUCAUGACUAUUGUCUAUGGUUAUGACUAUUGCGUUCAUUCUGGAAUGGCAGAGUUCAGUGUUCAGAAGGAAGAUUACCUGGCUCACAAAGUCUCAAAUACUGUGUACCGCUUGGCUCUUUAAGUUUGCCAACCCCUGGGUUGGUGGUGAGUGAUAAUGUAAAAAUUAAUACAAUGGCAGAAGAAUGAAUGAACUCUGAAGAACAUUCUUUGGAACCCUACAAGAAUGGAGUAGAAGAGGAUGGAUGAGCAGAAAGGCUCACACUUGGAAUGCCAGUGUUUAUUUAACACACUAAGGUAAAUACAUAUCACAUAUAAAAAUUGUCCUAUAAUACAGCCAGUGGGGGAACAUAAAAAUAAAUGCAUAACUUUUUAAAAGGUUCAUCCUAAUGUGGCCCUAAAAUUACCUUGUGUAUCCAAGAGUCUACAUGGUAUGUUUUGGAAAAUGCCAGGUUAUGGUAGCUAUAAACUGUCCAGGAACAUGGGAGUGUAUGCGUAUGUUUGCGCAUGCGUGGAUUUUCGGAAUUACAAAAUCUGUUUGGGAGAACCGUGUUCCACUGAAUUGACCUCUGUAGCCUUUCUAAUAUUGCUCUGUUUGAUUAACAGAUUCCCUUCUACACCCCGAUAGGAGGAGUCUACUUUAAGACUUCACCAGGUUCCAGCCUGUCCCCUGCCUCCCCCCACCAUUGCCUGGUUCCAGGCUCCCAGGGAUGGCAGCUACCAUCUUGGCUUUGAAGAGUGGGGACAUCCGGAGGUAGCCCCGGCCAUGGUGGUGGAUGAAGAGGAGGUAGAUGGGACCAAGGACCCAGAGGUACAUGGGGGGCACCCAGACCCCUGCUGUUCUCAGGAAGCACAGGCUCAGCAGGCUGGUGGCGGCAGGUUCAGGCUCUGUCUGGUUCCAGACCUGAGGGAACACAAAGAGGACCCUUAGGAUGGUACAAGGCAGGGGUCCCCAGCUCACCUGCCCGGGGGGCCAGGCAACUUUUUGGAUCUUUAACAUUUACACAAAAAUGUGCCAAGUACUCUUUGGAAUACCUACUAAUUCUCAAUUCCUUUCAUCCUGACAUUAACCCUAGGUAGUUGCAAUUAUAUUGAUUUGCAGAUGAAGAAGCUGAGGACCAGAGAGGUUGAGUAACUUUGCUGACUUUACCCAGCUGAGGAGUGGAAGGGCUGGGAUUUGAAACCAGGGAACUGGGCCAUGUGGUCUAGGAGACCUGGGCUCCAUAAUCAUUGCUAGGCAUGGACUGUCAGUUAAUCCUUAUAACAACUCCAGGACGCAGACAGUACUGUCUCCAUUUCAGAAACCAGCAGACUGAGGCACCAAUCGGAGAACUGCCUCCCCCAGGGACACACAAAUGGGAAGUGGCAAAGCUGACUCUGACCCAGGCUUAUCUGACCCCAAACCUCGUUCGACUGGUGGUCUUGAUAUAUGAUUUAUUUUUAUUUUUUAUUAUUAAUUAAUUUAUGUUUUAGAGACAGGGUCUCACUCUGUUGCCCAGGCUGAAGUGGCACAAUCAAAGCUCAACAAAGCUUCGAAUUUCCUGGGCUCAAGCAAUCCUCCCACCUCGGCCUCCCAGAGUGCUGGGAUUACAGGCAUAAGCUGCCUCACCAGGCCUGGCUAAUUUUUUUUUUAUGUUUUGUAGAGAUGGGGGUCUCUCUAUGCUGGUCUCGAACUCCUGGCCUCAAGCAAUCCUCCUGCCUCAGCCUCCUAGGUACUGGGAUUACAGGCAAGAGCCACCGGCCCAGCUUGAUCUGUUAUUUUCAUCUCAGCAGGUCUGCUGGUCCUAUCUAACCCUAGAAGAAAUUUGAAGUUGAGUGGACGUGGCCUCUUCAAUUCUCUCUCCGCUAUCUUUUUACUCCUCCUGGUUUCACAACUCACCGGCUGUGCAAACUUUAACCUCUCUGUAUCUCAGUUUCCUUCCCUGCAAAAGGGGGAUAACGAGACUCUACCUCUAUGAGUUGUAUUAAAUGGAUUAAUAGCAGCAAAGUUCAUAGCAGCAUGGCACAAGGUUGGGCACAAGGCUAGGCACAGAGAAAGCCCUCAGUUCAUUGCCAGUUUAUUGCUUGAACUCCCUGGCCCUCGAAAUGCUGGCAGUUUGCAACCCCCACCCCCACUCCAUGAACUCCACUCCCUGGAGUCCUUUGCUAAGAGCAAUGGAAAAAGAAACCAGAGAGGUAAGGGCUCUCCGGGGGUAGGAGGGCUUGGGGGACCCACUAGCUUUCUGCAAAGAAGGGUCAAAGCCCCUAGUAGCUGGGAGGUCUGGUGGCCCCUUAAAUAGAGCUGGGCUCUCGGCUGCUGGCUUGGUGAAAGAAAUCCAACCCGCUGCAGUGAGGGGGCCGGAGUAAGUCUCCUCGCUUCCCGGGUCCAGGAAUUUGGGGGUCUCUCCUCUCCCCAGUAUCGCAGCCCGAGAGCUCUGCAGCCAAACCAAGCCUGGAAAAGGAGAGUGGGGCGCGAUGGGGGGCACUCACCCCCUGCCCCGCGCAGGGCUCAGCAGGCGCGGCCAUCGGCGCCUUCUGUCGUCGUGGGUCCCAGCGUCUGUCUGUCGCUAAGUCUCUGGGCAGACUGCUCGGCCGCGAUCCUGCCAGGGAAGAGGCGGGGCUGGGCUGGUCGGGCUGGGCUGGUCCGGCUGGGAUUCGAGCUCCGGGAUCGGGAGGCCCCGGGCAAGGUCCAGCUGCGCGGCGGGAGUGAGGCCACGGGAGGUGAAAACAGGCGAGGUGGGGGAGGGGGGAAGAGAGGCGCUCGGGGAGCUGGGACGGGCACCGGGUUGGGGGGUCCCGGAACCCCUGAAAGUUCAGUGACACCUCCAUAGUUCCCUCUUCCCCCUGCAACAAGAAUCACUCCAAACUUCCCAAGCACUUUGGACCCAGCAAUUUCCAGGAGUUCAUCCUGAUGAGAGAACUGAAAGGUGUGCACACGUUAGUAACAAGGAGGCCUGGUGACCGCCUAAGCGUCCAAUCGCGGGGACCACCGGGUCGAGGCCGAGAGGAUGGAGACCGCGUCACAGGCACCUCGCUGCUGGAAUGGAGGGUGGUGGGGAGAACUUAGAAGAUUAUGCAAUGGGCUGGCAGGGCUAUACCCAGCCGCCCUGGUAAGCAGAAACUCAAGAAACCUCUAGGGUCCUGUUUUCUGGUCGUAUGAUCCCAGGAGUGCACAUGGGCCCCUCGGGUGUCUGAACAGAAGGGCAUAGGAGGGAGGGCCGCAGCCCUGCAGUCUCACUCUGCAGGUGUAGCAGUCACCUGCCAACUCCCACCCCACCCUGCACCGCGGGCUCCUGAGUCGGCAGAUUAAGCAUUUUACAAAUUCUAUUUUAAAUACGUGUUUUAAACUUGUCA